GAUGAACGCUGGCGGCGUGCUUAACACAUGCAAGUCGAACGGAAAGGCUCCUGCUUGCAGGGGUACUCGAGUGGCGAACGGGUGAGUAACACGCGGGUGAUCUGCCCUGCACUUCGGGAUAAGCCUGGGAAACUGGGUCUAAUACCGGAUAGGACGAUUGUUUGGAUGCCAUUGUGGAAAGUUUUUCGGUGUGGGAUGAGCUCGCGGCCUAUCAGCUUGUUGGUGGGGUAAUGGCCUACCAAGGCGUCGACGGGUAGCCGGCCUGAGAGGGUGUACGGCCACAUUGGGCCGGGGCUACGGCCCAGCCUCCUACGGUAGGCAGCGGUGGGGAAUAUUGCACAAUGGGCGGAGGCCUGAUGCAGCGACGCCGCGUGGGGGAUGACGGCCUUCGGGUUGUAAACUCCUUUCGCUAGGGACGAAGCGCAAGUGACGGUACCUGGAGAAGAAGCACCGGCUAACUACGUG
rnacentral:rRNA from 1 species